rnacentral:rRNA from 1 species
GAUGAACGCUGGCGGCGUGCCUAAUACAUGCAAGUCGAGCGAACGGACGAGAAGCUUGCUUCUCUGAUGUUAGCGGCGGACGGGUGAGUAACACGUGGAUAACCUACCUAUAAGACUGGGAUAACUUCGGGAAACCGGAGCUAAUACCGGAUAAUAUUUUGAACCGCAUGGUUCAAAAGUGAAAGACGGUCUUGCUGUCACUUAUAGAUGGAUCCGCGCUGCAUUAGCUAGUUGGUAAGGUAACGGCUUACCAAGGCAACGAUGCAUAGCCGACCUGAGAGGGCGAUCGGCCACACUGGAACUGAGACACGGUCCAGACUACUACGGGAGGCAGCAGUAGGGAAUCUUCCGCAAUGGGCGAAAGCCUGACGGAGCAACGCCGCGUGAGUGAUGAAGGUCUUCGGAUCGUAAAACUCUGUUAUUAGGGAAGAACAUAUGUGUAAGUAACUGUGCACAUCUUGACGGUACCUAAUCAGAAAGCCACGGCUAACUACGUG